UGAAAUACAAAACCAUAAAUCAGCUAUGGCAGGAUGGUGUGUGUGUUUGUGCUUCUAAUUUUGUGUGUGUUCUUUAGAAAAACAAAGCGGGGACGCUGUGCAGCUGAGAAACUCCACAAGUUUCUGGGGCAGAGCAAGCAGACAGAGCUAGUGCCUGGGACCAGGAGGCCUAAGAGAAAGCUUUAUUUGAUGUUCUUAUCUCUAGAAGCCUUACUAGGAUAGGCACUAAUUUGCAGGGUUGCUCUCCCAGCUGGGAGCCGUGAACUUCAACUAUGCAGUGCUGAGGGAGCCUUGAGGUUGCAGCAAAAGUGAAGGGUAUGGAGCUGGGAGGUGGUAGGAAAGAGAAACAGAAAAGAGCAACACCUACCUGAAGAGAAAAGGGAAGGUGCCAUGGGGAAGGGCGAUGAGCAUAAACCCAGCCUCGCCAAGACCAGCAGUCCAGCUCUCAUGUCAUCUAAGAGACUUUGCAGGACAGAGCAGGGUCCUGGAUCAGCUGACCUGGAAUGAGAGGUCAGAUUCCUGGGAAACAGCAGAGGCAAUGACAUCAGAGCAGUGACGUCACUGCCUCACCUCCAGUCAGAGGAAGGAGGCCCAGAACCCCAGCUCUCAGAGAAGCAGAGCUCUGAGCAAGGAGAUGCCUCCCAGCUCUGGCCCUCCUGCCAUGGGCUGCAGCCCCGUCUGCUGUGUGGCUCUGUGUCUCCUGGCAGCAGGCCUUGUGGAUUCUGGAGUCACCCAAACCCCGAGAUACCUGAUUAAAGCAAGAGGACAGCGAGGGACCCUGGGCUGCUCCCCUGUCUCUGGACACCUCUCUGUGUACUGGUACCAACAGGCCCUGGGCCAGGGCCCCCAGUUCCUCGUUCAGUAUUACAGGCAGGAUGUGAGGGGAGAAGCACAGCUCCCGGAUCGAUUCUCAGGAAAACAGUUUAGUGACUUUCACUCUGAGCUGAACCUGAGCUCCUUGGAGCUGACAGACUCAGCCGUGUAUCUCUGUGCCAGCAGCCAAGACACAGCCCUGCAUGAUCAGGUGCCUCUGGGACAAAAACAGUCCUGCCCCAGCUCAGGAAGUUACUGUGAGGGUGACUGCCUGCCUGUCAGGCCUAGAUAG